UCAUAGGUUUGGAGGCCUAGUUUCUUGAUCAAUUUUAGACAGCACAGCGUAAUCCAGCGGACAUAGUGGUGCUCAGUUUUAGUGGCAGGAGUGAUUUCGAGCAUCUCCAUCUAUAUUCCAACAGUUGGUGAGUACUCAUAGUUUGGGGACCCAGUUAUUCAGUUUUCCAUCUUAUUAAAGUAUUUGAUUCAGUAUAUUCAGUCAGUUUGAGUCAGCUGGGGGUUUGUCCUAGUGGCUCAUUAGUUUUUAAAAUUAGAGACUUGUCAGUCUUCUAGUUAUAAUUCAGAUUUCCAAUAUUGAUUGUCCAGAAUUUUAAGUCAAGUAUUUUUAGAUUUUAGGUUUAGUUAA